rnacentral:misc_RNA from 1 species
UACGUAGGUGGCAAGCGUUAUCCGGAAUUAUUGGGCGUAAAGCGCUCGCAGGCGGUCUAUUAAGUCUGAUGUGAAAGCCCACGGCUCAACCGUGGAGGGUCAUUGGAAACUGGCAGACUAGAGUCUUGGAGAGGGGAGUGGAAUUCCAGGUGUAGCGGUGAAAUGCGUAGAGAUCUGGAGGAACAUCAGUGGCGAAGGCGGCUCCCUGGUCAAAGACUGACGCUCAUGUGCGAAAGCGUGGGGAGCAAACAGG